rnacentral:rRNA from 1 species
UACGAAGGGGGCGAGCGUGUUCGGAAUUACUGGGCGUAAAGGGCGCGCAGGCGGUUCUUCAAGUCAGAUGUGAAAGCCCCGGGCUCAACCUGGGAAUUGCAUUUGGGACUGGAGAACUAGAGUUCGGGAGAGGUGGGUGGAAUUCCCAGUGUAGCGGUGAAAUGCGCAGAUAUCGGGAAGAACACCCGUGGCGAAGGCGGCUCUCUGGGACGGUACUGACGCUAGACGCGAAAGCGUGGGGAGCGAACGAGG